rnacentral:tRNA from 1 species
GGUUGUGGCUCAGCGGUAGAGCACUCAUCUCGCACAUGCGAGACCCUGGGUUCAAUCCUCAGCACCA